UUAGUCCAUAAUGUAUCUAAGCUGACUUGUCUUCACUCAGGGCACCAUGGGGAUGGGUUGGCUGUCCAUUUGUGCCUUCUGCUUUUUGUGGAGUCAGAUAAUU
rnacentral:snoRNA from 1 species